GAUGAACGCUGGCGGCGUGCCUAAUACAUGCAAGUCGAGCGAAUGGAUUAAGAGCUUGCUCUUAUGAAGUUAGCGGCGGACGGGUGAGUAACACGUGGGUAACCUGCCCAUAAGACUGGGAUAACUCCGGGAAACCGGGGCUAAUACCGGAUAACAUUUUGAACCGCAUGGUUCGAAAUUGAAAGGCGGCUUCGGCUGUCACUUAUGGAUGGACCCGCGUCGCAUUAGCUAGUUGGUGAGGUAACGGCUCACCAAGGCAACGAUGCGUAGCCGACCGGGGAGGGUGAGCGGCCACACGGGGACUGAGACACGGCCCAGACUCCGACGGGAGGCGGCAGUAGGGAAUCUGCCGCAAUGGACGAAAGUCUGACGGAGCAACGCCGCGUGAGUGAUGAAGGCUUUCGGGUCGUAAAACUCUGUUGUUAGGGAAGAACAAGUGCUAGUUGAAUAAGCUGGCACCUUGACGGUACCUAACCAGAAAGCCACGGCUAACUACGUGCCAGCAGCCGCAGUAA
rnacentral:rRNA from 1 species